CCUGCGCACUAGAAAUGGGAGAUCUAGAUCCGGCUAGAUCUGGCAACAUUAGACGAUCUCGAUCUCGAUUGUCGACAUCAGUAACUGUUGAGUCGUUACGUAGCACUGUACGUUCUUCAGUAGAGUCUGGUGAUGAUUGAAUGCAUCAUGGACUGAUGCCGUUGCUGUUUCAAGAAAUCCACUUGUUACAACAAAUAACGAUGAAAUAUAGCAGCACCGUAUAUUAAAAAGGGCUUUCCAUGUUUGGGUCUCCAGAAACAUAUGUAUGGACUUUGUAAAAUCCAGGUAAACCUAUUCCUCAGUGAGGCACAUCGUCAUAAAUCUUCUCCUAUACUGGUAUGGUGAGCCCGUUUCAAUCAUUUUUAUUACAAAAUACAUGUAAUCAUGCGUUUCCAUUUUUAUUAGUACAGAUUUAUUAAGUAAUGUACUAUACUCUUUUACGAACGAAUGCUUACAAACUGAUAGCGCUUGAUGUGGUACUUGCCGUAUUAAAAAUAUAAUCAGAAUGAUCGAACCGAGAUUUCUAUUUAUACGGGCAGUAUGCGCGUCUUUGUCUGCGAUUAGACUAAGAUUUGAAAUAUUUUGGUUCAUGCAACCAAACCGCUUCUGAGGUCGAUCGCGCCUUUACAUUGUAGAUUUCCCUUUAUUUCCUCAGAUAACUGUUACCCAGUUUUCGUUUUUCUUUAUGAGU